rnacentral:rRNA from 1 species
CCGCGAAUCGCCCUUCGGGGUGCAGCAGGCGCGAAAACUUUACCAUGCCGGCAACGGCGAUAAGGGAACCUCGAGUGCCAGGUUACAAAUCUGGCUGUCGUGAUGCCUAAAAAGCAUUGCAUAGCAAGGGCCGGGCAAGACCGGUGCCAGCCGCCGCGGUAACACCGGCGGCUCGAGUGGUAACCGUUAUUAUUGGGUCUAAAGGGUCUGUAGCCGGCCGGGUAAGUCUCUUGGGAAAUCUGGCAGCUUAACUGUCAGGCUUUCAGGAGAUACUGCCUGGCUCGAGGCCGGGAGAGGUGAGAGGUACUUCAGGGGUAGGGGUGAAAUCUUGUAAUCCUUGAAGGACCACCAGUGGCGAAGGCGUCUCACCAGAACGGACCUGACGGCAAGGGACGAAAGCUAGGGGCACGAACCGGAUUAGAUACCCGGGUAGUCCUAGCCGUAAACGAUACUCGCUAGGUGUCGGCCACGGUGCGACCGUGGUCGGUGCCGUAGGGAAGCCGUGAAGCGAGCCACCUGGGAAGUACGGCCGCAAGGCUGAAACUUAAAGGAAUUGGCGGGGGAGCAC